rnacentral:rRNA from 1 species
AGUGAACGCUGGCGGUAGGCCUAACACAUGCGAGUCGAACGGCAGCACAGUAAGAGCUUGCUCUUACGGGUGGCGAGUGGCGGACGGGUGAGGAAUACAUCGGAAUCUACUUUUUCGUGGGGGAUAACGUAGGGAAACUUACGCUAAUACCGCAUACGACCUACGGGUGAAAGCAGGGGAUCUUCGGACCUUGCGCGAUUGAAUGAGCCGAUGUCGGAUUAGCUAGUUGGCGGGGUAAAGGCCCACCAAGGCGACGAUCCGUAGCUGGUCUGAGAGGAUGAUCAGCCACACUGGAACUGAGACACGGUCCAGACUCCUACGGGAGGCAGCAGUGUGGAAUAUUGGACAAUGGGCGCAAGCCUGAUCCAGCCAUACCGCGUGGGUGAAGAAGGCCUUCGGGUUGUAAAGCCCUUUUGUUGGGAAAGAAAAGCAGCAGGUUAAUACCCCGCUGUUCUGACGGUACCCAAAGAAUAAGCACCGGCUAACUUCGUG